rnacentral:rRNA from 1 species
AACUUUCAACAAUGGAUCUCUAGGUUCUCGCAUCGAUGAAGAACGUAGCAAAUUGCGAUAACUAGUGUGAAUUGCAUUUUCAGUGAAUCAUCGAGUCUUUGAACGCAUCUUGCACUCUAGGGUAUUCUCUAGAGUACGCCUGUUUCAGUGACAG